rnacentral:tRNA from 1 species
AAGGCACUAGUAAAGCUAUUACACCGCCUUGUCAAGGCGGAAUUACGGGUUAAACCCCCGUGUACCUUA